GGAGGGGUGGCAGAGCGGUUGAAUGCACCGGUCUUGAAAACCGGCGACUGUAACAGGUCCGAGAGUUCGAAUCUCUCCCCCUCCGCCA
rnacentral:tRNA from 1 species